GACGAACGCUGGCGGCGUGCUUAACACAUGCAAGUCGAACGGAAAGGCCCUGUUGUUGUGGGUUGCUUGAGUGGCGAACGGGUGAGUAACACGUGAGUAACCCGCCACUGACUUUGGGAUAACGUCAGGAAACUGGGGCUAAUACCGGAAAGGAGCUCUUGCUGCAGGGUGGGGGAUGGAAAGUUUUGGGGGUUGGGGAUGGACUCGGGGCUAAUCAGCUUGUUGGUGGGGGAGUGGCUUACAAAGGCUUUGAGGGGUAGCGGGCCGGGGAGGGUGACCGGCAACAUUGGGACUGGGAUAGGGCCCGGCCUCCUCCGGGGGGCGGAGGUGGGAAAUAUUGACAAAUGGGGGGAGGCCGGAUGCGGCAACGCCGCGUGCGGAAUAACGGCCUUCGGUUUUAAAACCGCUUUCGCAGGUGACGAGGCGUGAGUGACGGUAAUGGGUAAAGAAGCACCGGCUAACUACGUG
rnacentral:rRNA from 1 species